rnacentral:rRNA from 1 species
GUCUACAGCCAUGCCACCCUGAACAAGCCCAAUGUCUGAUCUCAGAAGCUAACUAAGCAGGAUCAGGCCUGGUUAGUACUUGGAUGGGAGACCACCUAGGAAGACCAGGUGCUAUAGGCA